CCUACGGGUGGCUGCAGUGGGGAAUAUUGGACAAUGGGGGCAACCCUGAUCCAGCCAUGCCGCGUGUGUGAAGAAGGCCCUCGGGUUGUAAAGCACUUUCAGUGAGGAAGAACGCCUGGUGGUUAAUACCCAUCAGGAAAGACAUCACUCACAGAAGAAGCACCGGCUAACUCCGUGCCAGCAGCCGCGGUAAUACGGAGGGUGCGAGCGUUAAUCGGAAUUACUGGGCGUAAAGCGCGCGUAGGUGGCUUGAUAAGCCGGUUGUGAAAGCCCCGGGCUCAACCUGGGAACGGCAUCCGGAACUGUCAAGCUAGAGUGCAGGAGAGGAAGGUAGAAUUCCCGGUGUAGCGGUGAAAUGCGUAGAGAUCGGGAGGAAUACCAGUGGCGAAGGCGGCCUUCUGGACUGACACUGACACUGAGGGGCGAAAGCGUGGGUAGCAAACAGGAUUAGAUACCCCUGUAGUC
rnacentral:rRNA from 1 species